CCCCUACCCGGCAUUAAUAAUGACUUGUCCCUUAGCAAAGAAUGUAACUCAUGCACACUGUUACAUAUAACACUUUAAAUCGCACCAAUGACCUGAGCAAACCUUUGUGUAACUAUUGUUGGUAUUAGCAUCCGGUCUCAAUACUAAUUUCUGGCUUUUGCCCUUUAUCUCAUACAUAUCAGCACUAAAGUGAUCUGAACACAAACGACUACUUUUCGCAGGAACAGACUUCACUGUCGCAUGUUUAUUCAUAUACUCAACCCAUAUGCUGUACAACUCUGGAUGCUUCUUUGCAUCAGGAAUACUUAAAUAUGUGAAGGGAAAAAAAUUCAAUAACAAUAUGCUUUCAUAAAUACAAACAGGCCUAUAAAAUACACUGUACAGUAGGUAGGAAAAACGCACACGAGAACAUCACAAGGAACAAUGGAAAUAUAAUAUUUGAAUGAAACAAACUGCAUGCAAAAACCUCAGAAAAGAAGCCAUAGUCGUACCAUAGCUGGUACGUGACACAUGCACGUGAACAAAACAUAAACUACAGAAAAAACUUCUCGAAUGAUAUCUAAGCACAAAAUAAUAUUUCCUUACCAGUGACAGUGUGAAUACAAUCCGUCUUUGUCAAAGAAGUUGUGACAACCAUAAACCGAGCAAUAUUAACGCGGCAUGUUGACAAAAUAUAAAGUUGUGAAACUUGAUAGUUUGAUAAUUA